AUAAAACAGCUGGAUGAAGAAAGUCAAUCAUCUGCCAGCUAAGUAAGAAGAGACAAUAGCAGUAUGUAUUUGAUCUUUGUUAUAUUUUCUACAUUUAAAAAAAUGGGCCAUCCACAGAGUUAAAGUCAGCUCUAACAUUUCAAACACAGCCUAUUGUAUUACUAUAUUAAAGUUGUUUGGUAAACACUUCUAGCUGCCCUGUCAGAGGACACGACCUAUCUUUUCACUUGAAUACCGAGAAAGCCCUGGCAUGCCAGGGACUGGGACUUCCUGGAAUCAGGAGGGAUGUACCACAGAGAAGGUACCUGGCUUUCUACGAGUUUUAAACCAUACUGAAAACCCCUCCGUCUCUAGCUUCAUGUCUGCCAGUUAAAAGAAGAAAUAACAACAGGAGAAGAUGAUCUGCAGAAUCCUGCUGCUCAUCAUCCUCACCUCAUGUGUCUCUGGAUCAUUUGUAGUCAAUGUGACACAGACCUGCUAUCAGGCAGAGGAGAACCACAACAUCACACUGGAGUGGACGUUCACCACCAAACCUGACAGAUCCUCCAAAACCCUCAACAUCUUUUGUGAACUCUUUAUCAGUAAUAACAUCUCAGUCCUGUAUCAUGUUCAUGAAGGUGUUGAGGUGUCAGAGUCUCAGGAUGAAAAGUUUUCAGGACGAGUCCAGAGUGACAAAGAUGCCCUCAGAGAAGGACGAAUCAGACUUCAACUGUCCAGACUCAGGACUGAUGACUCGGGUCUGUACCUGUGUGAGGUCAACACUGAUUAUGGCUUCAGUGUUGGAAGAUGUCGACUCAACGUCACUGGAGCCAAAAAUUCAAAGGAGAAGUACUGGGAGAAAGUUAAAAAUGCUUUAGCAGGUGGACAGAUUGCAGGUAUAAUACUUGCUGGAUUGAUGGUCCUAUUAGGUGAAAUAGUUGACCCUAAAUUCUUCAUUAACAAAGAAGUAAGAGAAGAGACCACAUCAGAUGCAGAUGAAACAACAGUUCCUCUUCAACUAUUGGCUGCAUUGAGUCUGUGACUUUUCUCUAUUGAAAACAGGCAGACGAAGGCUCAGAGGGCUGUGAAGUUACACAUCUAGAAGCAUAAGGCCUGCUGGUGAAGCCUAGAUGUUCUGCAACAAGAGUGUUUGUGUGUGAGAGAAAGCCAUGGAGGAGAAUCUGGAUUUACUAAUGGAUCGACUUCCCUGAAGGCUCUUUGUAAAUAGAGGCAGUGAAUCAUCCCCUACUUGUAAAGUCUGUAAAUAUUUAUAUACUUCUGUGGGUACUGUAAAUAAACUCUCUAAACCUGCUUUACUGAGUCCAGCCUGCCUUUUGACCAUGACAGAUUUUGAUCUCAUAGGAAAAGAAUACGGUCAAUGUUUUUACUUUGCUGUUUCCACUUUUGCUCAGUUGUCAUCUUAGUUAAUUAUUAUUCUACAACUCCUUUCUGAAGGACUUUUCAUUUUAAUUUGCUCAAUUUAUUUGCAGGUAAAUGUAUAAACUCUGCUUUCUCCUCUCACAUACAUUUAAACAAGCACUCCUACUGUCAUGACUACUUUAACUUCCCUGUAAAUUAUAUGUAAAAAAAAAAAAAAAAAACCU